AGGAUUGAAAGUGGAUCUGCAGACGGCUCAUUAUAUCAGCUACAAUCUACGUGGGAAAGGUGCCUUACGGCGUCCAUUGGGAUAACAAAGGUAACUCCUUUGCUAAUACCUGUCCGAAAGAUCUCACUCACAUUCCACCCUGGUGGGGAAACCUGCCGGGGGUGAGGGAGAUGCAAUUGACUGAAACUAAAACCAACGCUAGCAAUAGCAGUGGUAGGAGGAUGAAACAGGUCAAUCGAGCGAUAGCACACAGCCUCGUUGUUGGUGCAAGCCCACAAGAGUAUCUGCCCUAUCAGCUUUUGACGGUAGUGUAGUGGACUACCGUGGCAGUAACGGGUAACGGGGAAUUAGGGUUCGAUUCCGGAGAGGGAGCCUGAGAAACGGCUACCACAUCUAAGGAUGGCAGCAGGCGCGCAAAUUGCCCAAUAGUAACAUUACUGAGGCAGCGAAGAGAAAUAGCAGCUUCUGAUCUUUCGAUCAUGGAGCCUGCAAUGGAUGAUAUCUAAACCUGUCAAUGAGUAUCGAUUGGUGGACAAGUCUGGUGCCAGCACCCGCGGUAAUUCCAGCACCAAUAGCGUAUAUUAAUGCUGCUGCUGUUAAAAAGCUCGUAGUUGGAUCCAGGGUUCAGGUUGCGUGUUGCCUUUUGUUCUGUCCCGAGGUUUACCAAAGGCUGAACUUUAGGAGUAACAACUCGCGUUAAACCUGAGCUCUAUCAACGGUGGUAAUGGUACCCUGCGAUUAGGGCUUCGGCCUGAAAGCACUCCGCGUAUACCAUGCGCUUACGGGUCGACCAUCGAUGUUACUGUGAACAAACCAGCGUGCCCAAAGCAGGCGUUCGUCGUGAAUGGUAAAGCAUGGAAUAACAAGGGAUCGAUUCUUUCGGAACAUUUUGUUGGUUUUCUGCCCGAAGAGGAGUAAUAUAGGUCGCAGACUCUUCUGAUGCUUCGGUAUUUGAAAGGCUGCGUCACGGUGGGAUCAAUAGGGACUGUCGGGGUCGUAGGUACUCCCUCGUCAGAGGUGAAAUUCUUAGAUCGUGGGAAGACGAACUUCUGCGAAAGCAUUCGACAAGAAUGUCUUCUUUAAUCAAGAACGAGAGUGUGGGGAUCGAAGAUGAUCAGAUACCGUCGUAGUCCACGACUGUAAACGAUGCCGUCUCAGGAUCGAAGGGCGCUCAUCUAUGGCCCCUACGGCACUAUCCUUCUGAAACGAGAAAUCAAAGAUUAUGGGUUCAGGGGGGAGUACAUUCGCAAGGCUGAAACUUAAAGGAAUUGACGGAAUGACACCACCAGGCGUGGAGUAUGCGGCUUAAUUUGACCCAACACGGGGAAUUUUACUAGGUCAGGACAAUGUAAGGAUUGACAGAUUGAGAGCUCUUUCUUGAUUAAUUGUGUGGUGGUGCAUGGCCGCUCCUGGUUGGUGGAGUGAUUUGUCUGGUUGAUUCCGUUAACGAACGAGAUCUCGACUCUUAAAUAGGUGAGCCCGUUGCCCCUCUUGCAGGCUUUGGACUUGUCCAAGGAAACAGGGAUUCGACUUCUUAAGGGGACUGUGUGCGUCAUAGCACACGGAAGAGCGAGCCAAUAGCAGGUCUGUGAUGCUCCUAAAUGUCCUAGGCUGCACGCGCACUACACUGACGCAUUCAACGAGUCUGAUUGCCUUCGGGCAACCUAUCUUGAAGAGGACGGGAAAUCUUUUGAACUUGCGUCGUGAUGAGGAUAGAUGAUUGCAAUUAUUCUCCUUGAAUGAGGAAUGCCUAGUAGGCGCAAGUCAUCAGCUUGCACUGAUUACGUCCCUGCCAUUUGUACACACCGCCCGUCGUUGCUACCGAUUGGCUGUGGGAUAGAGUUUGGGGGAGGUUGUGGUUUUGGGCUUGCUCAACUCCACGUUCCGAUCCAAGCAAUAUUCUCAGCUAGAGAAGCA
rnacentral:rRNA from 1 species